rnacentral:lncRNA from 1 species
GGGAUUCGUACCUGUAUUUGUCUGAUCAUCAGAAUCAAUUUCGUAAGAGUUUAUGUAGGUAAACACAGCAUCAGCAUGCCUAUUAUUAAAUUUUCUGAGCAGUUCUUGAAGCUUGUGGUUGAAAAUUUGAACAUCAUCAUUGAGCUUGUAUGCACAUGAAGAUGCAUCUAGUUCAUUGGGAUGUUUUUGUAUGUUUGACGGCAUACAUCCUACCCGAAUAAGUCCGAACACAGCUAUCUUUCUUGCUCCUGAGCAAUACAGUUUCUGGCAGCAAGGGAAAAAAAACGGAAUGAAGUGGGGGUCUUUGUUAGUUUCCAAUCGCGUCAAACAUUAAUUGUUGUUUUACAAGAGACAUUAAGUAGGGCUAACCUCCAGCUGAGUUUCAUAAGUUUCAAUGAGAAGAUGAGCAAAAUAUAAUUAGACGUGGUUAAUUGUAUUUAGAUACGUAUUUGGUAAAAAUUAUGGUUGAGAUUUACGUGCAGUAAAAAAACAUGUAUAAAAUGUUUGGAUGUGAUUGCUUUUUAAAAGUGCUUUUUACUUGGAAAUGCAUCAAAAUAAUCUGAAAAUACAAAAAAAAUAAGUAAAGAAAAAAAUAAAAAAACUUUAAAUUUUUUAAAAAAUGCUUUUGAAACGCAAAAACAAACAUAGUUUUACGAAACUCAGUUAAAAAAACAUGUAAAAAAUGCUUCAUAAAAAAUGUGUUUCAAACUCAAUUUUUUAAUGGCCCCCACAAUAUAAAAUGCAGUUUGGUGUAUUACCAAACAACUAACUAUGUUUUUUACUCCACAAACACAAAAGCUAAGACUAAACAAACGUACCUUUACAACUAUUGCUAUAAUUAUUUUAUCACCUAAAUAUAUCAUUAUCAUUUUACUACCAUUAUAUUUUUGUCACAUCAUUAUUUAUAAAAAAAUAUUAUGAAAAUACUAUCCAUAUAAAAUGUUUAUAUGUAAAAUAUUUUAUAUUGGUAAAAACAAUUAUCUCUUAUAUCAAACAUUAAAAGACACAAUUACAUAAUUACAUUGAUAAAAAAAAAUUCACAAUUGCAAAUUUAAUUUAUAUUAACUACUUGAAUAAAUGAUUUUUUCAUAUAUAAUUCAAAUGAAUUAAAACACCAAGUUACCAGAACAGCAGAAACAAGAUGAAAACAGUGCACACGUAGAAAAAAAAUGAUAAAAUACAUGAAAAGAGAACCAAAAUUACAACACCAAGAGCUUUUCUAUUUGCAACCAAUUCAGCUUGAUUUGAAUACAUUACUCUGAUCAUGAUUGAAAAUAGUUAUUUCACAAUACAAAUUCCAAAACUAAUUUUUAUUUAAUUAUACGUAAUUAAAAAGUAUUUUUUUAAGGGAUUUAGAUUUUGAAGAAAAUAUAUUUUUUAAAUUGAAGUCCCCAUUCCUUAUUUAUAAUCUUUUUUUUAUGAAAAAAAUCUUUUUAUUAAUGAUAUUAUUUUUAAAUAAAAGUCAAAGUAAUUAAAAUAAAUAUUCAUAACAAUAUCAAUACUUUAAGAAGGAAAAAUUAUUUCUUGGGGAAAAACUUUCAUUUCCUUAUUGUUUUUUUCUUACAAAAACAUGUCGUUUUAGGAGCAUAUUUUUAAAAUAAUAACUUAUUUUAAUCUAAAGAGCAAGUUUCAAACAAUAAAAAAUAAAAAACUCAUGUCUUCAUUGAAUAUUCAUAUACAAUUUUAUUUACAGUAUGUGCAUAUUACUCUCAUAUAUAAUUAUUAACAAAGUUAUUACAAAUAUAACUAUAAAAAGCUAUCAUUUUAUUUUAAAAAAUAUGGCAUAAUCAGAAUUUUUUUAAAUAUCAUUGUAAAUAAUAAUUUAAAGCAAUUUUUAUAAAUAAAAACAAAAGUAUUUCUUGGCUCAGAAGGUCAGGCUAGCAUGACAUUUUUUCUUUUAAAUUAAAAAAAACUUUAAGAAUUCAUCGAUAACAUUGCUACUGCUGAACCAACUGUCAUUUGCACAGCAUGAUGGCCAACACUUAUAUCUGAGCUACCACGUCUUGCUUCACUGCGAACACUACAAAGGAAAAAAUAAUUCUUUUGGUUUAUGUAUUUACAUAUAUCCUUCUUUUGAUUUCAAUGGCAAGUGUAUCUCCGAAUAGACUUCCAUACGUUAAUAAUAAAUCUCUCUAUGAAUGGAUUUUAUGCCUGAUAUCCACAUGAUUAAGGAAUUAAGUAAUUGUUAUUGUCUUCUUGAGGCGAAUUCCCUUCUAGCAGGCAUCAUUAUGAAUUCAUUAAUUAAAAUCAUAACAACUUUCGGAAUGCGUAAAUGCAAAUUUUAUUGGAAUUAUAUUGUGCAAGGCUAUUGAAAGACAGUAAAUAUGUCUUUCAAUUGUUCUUACAGGCACAAUAUCUUAUUCUCUGACUGCUUAUUAGACAAUCGUCUUCUCCAUCAGAGCUGGGCAUGGUUGAUAUCGUAAGCAUCAGAAUCAUCAAGCCUCAGCUUAACUAGUUCGCUGAUAUCAUAUGGAUAGGCGUCCUUUGGUGACUGACGUUUAUAUGCUCUUUUUCCAAAGGCCCAAGCUUUAGCUUCAGUAAAAUGGGCUCCAUCCCAGUACACAUAAGUCACUCCUGUUGCUACAUGGGAAGGAGAGAGGUUUACAUGGGACUGAACCAGAUGCUACCUCGCAGCAGCUCUCACGGGUAUAUGUAAAACCUGCAAGCAAGAAAAAAUAAUUUUGGUCUCACAAAAAAAGUCGUCUUCAACCGUGAGAUAAAGAGAGCAAGGGAGGGAGGGGAUUCGUACCUGUAUUUGUCUGGUCAUCAGAAUCAAUGUCGUAAGAGUUUAUGUAGGUAAACACAGCAUCAGAAUACCUAUUAGUAAGGUUUCUGAGCAGUUCUUGAAGCUUGUGGUUGAAAAUUUGAACAUCAUCAUUGAGCUUGUAUGCACAUCUAGAUGCAUCUAGUUCAUUGGGAUUUUUUUGUCUGUUGGACGGCAUAC